rnacentral:rRNA from 1 species
AAAUGGACUCUCAGCAACGGAUAUCUUGSCUCUUGCAACGA